rnacentral:miRNA from 14 species
UAUGAUGUGUACGUGUGUGUGUGUGUGUGUGUGUGUGUGUAUGUGUAUUUAUAUACACAUAUAAACAUACACAACAUAUAUAUAACAUAUGUA